UCUCCGUUGGUGAACCAGCGGAGGGAUCAUUACAGAGUUGCAAAACUCCCCAAACCAUUGUGAACGUUACCUCCAAACCGUUGCUUCGGCGGGCGGCCCGGGCUCCCCCGGCGCCCCCCGGCCCCUCGCGGGCGCCCGCCGGAGAUCUCCCAACUCUUGAUACUUUAUGGGCCUCUCUGAGUUCUUCUGUACUGAAUAAGUCAAAACUUUCAACAACGGAUCUCUUGGUUCUG
rnacentral:misc_RNA from 1 species